GACGGGGGAUGCAAGUGUUAUCCGGAAUAAUUGGGCGUAAAGCGUCUGUAGGUGGUUUACCAAGUCUGUUGUUAAAAAUUAGGGCUUAACCCUGAUCCGGCAACAGAAACUAGUAGGCUUGAGUACGGUAGGGGCAGAGGGAAUUCUCGGUGUAGUGGUGAAAUACGUAGAUAUCGAGAAGAACACCAACAGCGAAAGCACUCUGCUGGGCCGAAACUGACAUUGAGAGACGAAAGCUAGGGGAGCAAAAGGG
rnacentral:rRNA from 1 species